GGCGAGGGGAGUGAAAAAGAACCUGAAACCGUGUACGUACAAGCAGUGGGAGCACAGGUUUACCUGUGUGACUGCGUACCUUUUGUAUAAUGGGUCAGCGACUUAUAUUCUGUAGCAAGGUUAACCGAAUAGGGGAGCCGGAGGGAAACCGAGUCUUAAUUGGGCGUUAAGUUGCAGGGUAUAGACCCGAAACCCGGUGAUCUAGCCAUGGGCAGGUUGAAGGUUGGGUAACACUAACUGGAGGACCGAACCGACUAAUGUUGAAAAA
rnacentral:rRNA from 2 species